CAUGUCUUGUAUAGGCCUAUUAAUAUGCAAACCUAGGCCUAUAGCCUACCUGAAGUUAUAACAUCUAGAUCAAUAUGAUUUGACAAAAUAAAGUGCUUCAAUGCACGUUUUAUUUCCUUUUGCACAACUGCAACAGCAAGGGCAACAGGUUUUUUUGUGUUCAUUUAAGGCACACUCAAAAAAUGUUUCUGGGUCCUGGUAAAUAUUAAGAAAUAUGUAUACAAACAAUUUAAGGAAUAUUGAAAUCAUAUAAACACCAUUUGAACUGUCCGCGUAUUAACUUUUAAACAAAUAAUCUAAACAAAUAAUGUAGGCCUAUGCACUUGAAAAAAGCUCAUAAUAUUAACUGACAUGCACAUCACACUCCAGAACAGUAGGUGGCAGUAAGAAAUGAAUCGCCUAUUGUCGAAACACAUUUUCAUUGACAGUAUUUAUCUUCUUCCUGCUGGCACCAAGUUGUUACCUUAUUGGUACAGAAAUAUUUUACAUAAAUCAAAACUAUAUAUGUGAAAUUCAUGCUGUAAUUCAGGUGGGAUAACAAACAAAAACAAAAAAAAAUCACCAAAGGGUAAAACCGGAAAUGGAAUUACGUCACUUCCUGUUCGUCAGUUGGUCUCCUGCUUUGAAAUUGAGGCAAUCGUUUUCAGCCGGAUGGUUACCCCCUGUGCUAGUGGAAGAUGUGACUUUGAAGACAGUCAUUGUAAAAGGUGCAAAAGGCUUGUCUAAGAUAAGCUGGCAGUCUACACCGCAUGGCCUGCGUUGCUGACAUUAAGUGAAGUUAAUGCAGAGUUCCUGUGCCUGACAGAUACUUGAGGAAGCAUCUUGGAGGUUGUCAAGGAGAAGGGAGGCGUUGCCAGAAGGAAGGACUGGAGUGGCGAAGUGAUCCAAAGGCAGACUGCACAUCUACGUAUAUGGUUUGCAAGGAACAUCCCGUGCCAGAGACUGUGAUACAAGGCAUGGAGCUGUACAGUGAACUCGGAGCAUCUCUUGUGCAUGUGUGAUGCUGUUUGGACUCGGUUACCGGUAUAUACCCUCAAUCUCAACUCUGUGGAUUUGGAUUUACAAUUUUAAGUAUCCAGAUGAACUGAAAUAUAUGUUCUGGUGAAUUUGGAAAAUAUGCCCAAAAGGUCCAAUCACUAUAAACUACAGUAAAUAUGUUGGACACUGGCAAUCUCAGGUUCUAAGCCAUUGUAUAAAAGGACAAUCCAUCGCAUUUCUAUUAAUACUUUUGUGUGCUGUUCUCUGAUCUGAGUUGAUGAUUUUUUUUGUCCUUUUUUGUCUUUUGUCAGCAUGGCAUUGAGUAUCAUUGAGGGGCUUUUUUCUAAA